rnacentral:rRNA from 1 species
GAUGAACGCUAGCGGCAGGCCUAAUACAUGCAAGUUGAGGGAGAAGUUAAAGCUUGCUUUAACGGAAACCGGCGCACGGGUGCGUAACGCGUAUGCAACCUACCUAUUACUGGGGCAUAGCCCGGGGAAACUCGGAUUAAUACCCCAUAGUACCACAUGAUGGCAUCUGAAAGUGGUUAAAGCUCCGGCGGUAAUAGAUGGGCAUGCGUAAGAUUAGAUAGUUGGUGAGGUAACGGCUCACCAAGUCAACGAUCUUUAGGGGGUCUGAGAGGAUGAUCCCCCACACUGGUACUGAGAUACGGACCAGACUCCUACGGGAGGCAGCAGUAGGGAAUAUUGGUCAAUGGGCGACAGCCUGAACCAGCCAUGCCGCGUGCAGGAUGACGGCCUUCUGGGUUGUAAACUGCUUUUCUAUAAGAAGAAAAAGGUCUCGCGAGACCAAUUGACGGUACUAUAGGAAUAAGCACCGGCUAACUCCGUGCCAGCCGCCGCCGUAACAC